UACAGAGACUGCAAGCGUUAUUCGGAUUCACUGGGCGUAAAGGGUGCGCAGGCGGUUGGGUGUGGCAGAUGUGAAAUCCCCCGGCUUAACCUGGGAACUGCGUCUGAUACUGGAAGGCUUGAGUAUGGGAGAGGGAUGUAGAAUUCCAGGUGUAGCGGUGAAAUGCGUAGAUAUCUGGAGGAAUACCGGUGGCGAAGGCGGCAUCCUGGACCAUUACUGACGCUGAGGCGCGAAAGCUAGGGGAGCAAACGGG
rnacentral:rRNA from 1 species